rnacentral:rRNA from 1 species
GAUGAACGCUGGCGGCGUGCCUAAUACAUGCAAGUCGAGCGAAUGGAUUAAGAGCUUGCUCUUAUGAAGUUAGCGGCGGACGGGUGAGUAACACGUGGGUAACCUGCCUAUAAGACUGGGAUAACUCCGGGAAACCGGGGCUAAUACCGGAUAACAUUUUGAACCGCAUGGUUCGAAAUUGAAAGGCGGCUUCGGCUGUCACUUAUGGAUGGACCCGCGUCGCAUUAGCUAGUUGGUGAGGUAACGGCUCACCAAGGCAACGAUGCGUAGCCGACCUGAGAGGGUGGUCGGCCACACUGGGGCUGAGACACGGCCCAGACUCCUACGGGAGGCAGCAGUAGGGAAUCUUCCGCAAUGGACGAAAGUCUGACGGAGCAACGCCGCGUGAGUGAUGAAGGCUUUCGGGUCGUAAAACUCUGUUGUUAGGGAAGAACAAGUGCUAGUUGAAUAAGCUGGUACCUUGACGGUACCUAACCAGAAAGCCACGGCUAACUACGUGCCAGCCGCCGCAGUAA